GAGUCCUUUUGGAAAAGAAAAAGGAAAGGAAAGGAAAGAAAAUGCUGGUCGAAUUUGUUUUCAGCACCCCUGAGGCUGGAAAGGGAUCCCGGGAAGGUCCUUCUCUCCCGAGUGGUGGAGUGCAUCCCCCACGCCCGAGGGCUCCCGAAUGCAUUUUGGGGUUUGAACUAGAUCGUGUUCCUGUCAAAACGCAAAGGCUGCAUCGAUUCACUGCACCAGGCAAAGUAGAACCGCAAAAGGCAAACACCAAGGUGCCUUCUACCUAGCACCCCGUCGGGACGUGCGUCCCCGUGUUUCUGCCAGUCUCUGGCACGUCUGCCGCUGCAAAUGCAUGAGAAAACAAAGAGAGAGGGCUAAGUGACAGGUCUGUGGAUGCUGAAAGCUCCACUCGUAAACUCAAACGUGUACUUGGAGAUCCUUUCAGAAGAAGUAAACUACCUAUUUUUGUCAUCUCGGAGGCUGGAUUUCAUAGGCCCGCUGAUUUCCCUAGGGAUGUGAGCUGGAAGUCCCUCUCCUGAUACCUGCCCAGGGGGCCCUCCAGGAAACCUGCUAAAGCCAUCAGGGAAGCUCAACGCAGGCUUGGGCCAAGGGUGCACCAUCAGUCAGACAGCGGAGACGGCCAAUGGAGGAGAGAAGGGAACUGCCCUGGACGGUUAAUACAGAGCCACUCUUCGCCACACACAGGACUCACUGAAACGUCAACAGGAAACCCCAGCUGAAGGCUUUUCUCCACUUCUCAACCCCCUGCCCCCAGACACAGGGUCCUGGUGCACACACGUGCAGGCCCUGUGCGGGUGCUACAGAUGAAGAUGUGUCCACCCUGGAUCCUUCCCUGAGAGACUCACAGUCCAGUGGGAGAAACCGAGAAGUAAAUAAAAAAUAUAUAAAUCCUCAAAUAGAUUCAAAUAAAUAGAGACUAGCAUACGCCAUGUUCAUGGAUUGCAAGAUUCAACAUAGUAAAGAUGUAAAUGCUCGGCAAAUUGAUCACCAUCAAAAUCCCAGCAAGAUGUUUAGAUGUUGACAGUAUUAUUCUAAAAUCUAUAGGGAAAAGUGAAGUCAAAGUAAAGGAACUAGGAUAGCUAAAAUGAUUUUUUAAAAAUAAGAACCCAGUAGAAGGAACCGAUCUAUUUGACUUCAGAACUUAUUACAUAGCUAUAGCAAUCAAGACUAUAGUCAGACAUAGGUCAAUGGAAAGAACAGAGGAUCUAGGAAUAGGCCCAUACAAAUAUGCCCACCUGAUUUUUGAGGAAAGUACAAUAGCAAAAAAUAAAUAAA